rnacentral:lncRNA from 12 species
AGAGCUAAAUUUCUAAAAAUUACCAUAUUUUUGCCCUAAAGAAACCUUAUGUGGGUACCUAUAACAUUUGUUUAAAAACAAACAAACAAACAAAAAAACCUCAUGUACUCUUAAAUCACCUAAAAGGAACUGAUGCAAAAUGUGACAGAAAGGAAGUGACUGAUAUGAAUGCUCUGCAAAUAGAUAAACUGUUUGGGCUUAUGAACUGCGCUAGUAUUGACAUAGAUCCAAUCUCAGCUUUCCAAAGAAUUAGAACCUGGUAUUAGUUACUCCAACCCACUUGAAUCUGUAAGAUGACCCAGAUGAAUUCCUACUAUUUGAAUCAUGAAUGACAGCAAAGCAAUUUCACAUACUUAUACUUCUUGCCCCUGCAUCCCUAUAACAUACAUAUUUUUUAUUUUACAGACUUGGAAGUUGACACAUAGAAAGUAAGUUGUUGGCUCAGACCAACAUUACCACAUCUGCUAAAAGUCAUAAGUAUCCGUGUCUUGAUUGUGAAGAUCAUGUUUUGGUGUCAAUACAGGACUCACUCAGAUGACCUCUCCACUGACAAAUAAAUAAAUAAAAGUACAGAUUAUAUAUUGAGAGGAACAUUGGGGAAAAUUGUAUGGCUAUACCAAGAUCAUGCUAAUAAAAAAGAACCAUGUAUUUGGAAAGAUAUCGAUGGUUAUCCAAGCUUUGAAGCAGUGACACUUUUGACUGAUACUAUCUACUAGAGAGAUUUAACUAUGUUAAACAGACUGCAAGAUUUCAUCAGAAUCAGAACCUGCUUUGUGCUGAAUUCAGAGGGUUUCAACAAGGAUGAUCUCUUCAGGAAUCCAAAGUGGGAAGCUGAAACAAAGGACUGUGCUUUCCAUAUUGUCAAAUUUGCCCAAAUAUAACCUCUCUUCAUUCAAACUCAAAUAAACCUUAAUUAAAGCAAAAGAAAAAGUUGAAC